GUCUCUCAGUGCUGGAGUGGUGGCUGAGAAAGCAGAGAUGGAAACAAAGACAAAGCAAGGACAUGAAGACUGCACCAUUCCUCCACUAUUCUUGUCAGGGGAAGUCUUCUGCUCAUACACGCAGACUGAGAAAUCCUAGCUGUUAUGGAAGGCCAGGGCAGGAGACUUGAAAGCACCAGUUUAUCCAAUGUUCCAGACUAAUUGAGAGUGGAUUUCCAAGAAGAAAAAGGAAGAACAUGUUCACAGCCACGGACACCUCCUCACCUGUUUACGAAAGACAACGUGGGUUCUGCAGGACAGAAAAAAUACUGGCAAAAAAUACGGCAUCUCACCUUUCUGCAAUUUUCUCAGUCCGUAUCAAUUCCCUGAACUAAACCCCACAUCAUUCAGUGUUUAAAUAAAAACGAAAGCUAAAAAGGAAGGUCGCUGUUUUCCUCUGCGCAGUAGGGAUUAAUGGAGCAGAUUCUGCACUUACAUGUGCGGCGAUCGCCUCCCUCUCCGUGCUCUGCCUUAGCAAUCAAGGAGGCGGCUGGACGCACGCAGGCGGGAAGUCACGACCACCGUCUUGUUUAUAGCCGCUUGCUUCGGCAGCGUGCGAUCUUUGUAAGGAAAAGGGGAAUCGGAGGGAAAGGCAAAACACCAUGGCAGCAACGAGCCUGCAUCCCAAGCCUGUGUUCUUCUGCAAUCACCUUGACCCCCCUGACCACGCAGCAGUGGUGGGAGGUUUGGGCAGCGACUGCUCUGUGCCUGGCGCAGUCGCGGCUCUCGCUGUACACGCUGUGGUCUCGCCUUCAGGCAGCUCGGCUUUGCGGCUGCUGCUCUGCGGUCUCAGUUUAGUACUCAAUAGGACUUUCUGGGCUACACCAGAAAAACUUGAGAGUACGAUGCUUUAUAAUGAUUUAGAAAACGCACAACUACUUUCCCAAGGAGCUUUGCGUCUAGGUGAGGAAAAGACAUACAAUAAAUGGCUGAAAACCUCGGAAAGCGUGAGAACAACAUGAUCCAGUACUAAAUCUGCUACAGCAAAAUAACCUCUCCAAAACCCUCUGAUUUGUCUUGAACUAAAUUUGGACUGGCAGUAGAAGCUUGUACCUUGUACAGAGUUUCUCUUUGUGCAACCACAAUGGCUCUGACAUGAUAUUGGCACAUGAAAAGUGGAUUCGCCAUCUCAAGGACCCACAAUAUCACCCUUCAGAGGCCUCCAGGAGCCACCCAGCUCUCUCUGUUGACUCGAUAAGACGCCAGGAUCCACUCUGCAUUUGGUGUAAUUCAGUGCUCUGAACUACCCUCUGAACCACAGCUUUAUGUUCAGGUGCUACCGUAGCUGGGCUGCACACCCAAAGCAAGUGGUUUGAAAAUAGCCUGACAUCUCCUCUCAUUAGAAGAACAAUGACUAACUGGUGGCACUCCUCACACAGCAGUCUAAUUCCUACGCUUUUUGUGAAAGAGUUUUCAGUUCUUUUGUCAUUAUGGAUAUAAAAAAUAAGAUUCAAAGGACUCUCUAAACUGAUCCCAUUUAAGUAGAUAGCUGACUCAUUUUUAUCGCUGCUGUGAUACUCCUGUGUGCUGCCAAGAGGGUGUGGGGAAGGGGAUCUGAAGGAAUCGGUGUAUUUUAUAAAUGAACCAAAGAGUGCAAGAGUGUGUUCAAGUGCAAGUUUCCAAGUCACAGUGCUGGCAAGCUGAUCUUCUCCUGGCAUUUGCUUGGGUCACUGUCCUAGAAGUCCCUGGGGCACAUUGGCUCCUCCUUGCAGCAUUAACAUGGCUGCUGUAAGAAGACACACAGUCCGUUCGGUUUUUGUUGUCUGGAGCACCACACCCAAGGCACAGGUUUCUCUCGGAGGCACAGAUGGGGAUGCAUCCUCAUAGGGAUAAAUGUUUGUCUUUCCCAUAGUAUUUAGGUAUGGAGCAGCAGGUCCACCUGACCCAAAAGCAGUCUGGUUGGCCAUGCCAUUUGGAUCUCUGACUUAGCAUUUGCUGAAGGGAAGGCUGUAUUUCAUCUACACAGACCAAGUAGCUUCUCUGGUAAUUUGCCUGUUCUUAUUUUCAGCCAAGAAGGAGCCAGACAGCCCUACCCCAAGCUGUGAGCCUACCGCCCUGUGCUCCAGACGGUGGUAACAGAGGCAGCAGAAGCACUGUCUGUCUGCAACAAGGACAAGUCUCUCCUGCUGAAGUAGGCAGAAGCCCUUGGAGCAAGGCAGGGAAGGGCUGGAGAAGGGAGAUCUGCUCCACGAUCUCUCCAGUGGAGCAAUGGGAGCUGAAAGCAUGACCAAGGCUUCUCCUCAUCUCUGUGUCCAGGAGAUUUGAAGACCUGUGAAACUUCUGGAUGCAGUAAUUCAGGAUUAGAAAUGUUGUAUGUAGACAGUUUUUACAAUGGAGGGUACAAAGGAAAUCAAGGAAUUGGGAUGACCGUGCAGAACUGAUACAGACAGUAGGGACAAGACCUUUCUUUAAGGAUUUCCCCAUAACUUGGUCUUCUGAGGAGCAUUUUCUGAGCCACUUCUAAGGGAGAAGGACCUUUAAGAGCUUAGCCACUCUUAAAAGAGUCAUCUUCUGAAAAUCAUUCAUAAAUUCCUAUUUAGAAGUUCAUGAAACUGCUAGGCUACAAGCAAGGACAGCAAAAACACUAAGAAAAAAAAAGAUGAUAAAAUACGUGUCCUCUUCUGGCUCUUGCCCACUUCUGACUCUGAUCUUUCAAGGUCAACUGCAGAUCCAGAGAAUGAGCUCAUGUCCUGUCUCUGCAGCCUGGCACCGCUGCCAGGGCCUCUCGCAGAGCCAAGACGCGGCACGGCUUCAGCCCCACGCUCUGCCCCUGCAAAACCUGCCCUCGCCCAGUGAAAGACCCAUGGCCGGCCAGCGACCAGUGCAGGACAUGCCCAGGCAGCUCUGUUUUCUUCCCUUUUUGCCUUCUCUGUGUCUCCUGGAAUGUGUUUGCACAUGGUGGAAAAAAUGCAAAGAGCAGGGAGAAGCGGCCAGGAACGUCACCCUCCCUGCCGGCGCUCGGCUGCGGGGCCAGCAGGCACGGCAGCUCACACCAGCAUCGGUACCCAGGGAAGUCGGAGGAGCCCCUGAUGCUUGCAGCAGUUGAACCACCCAGACAUGAAAUGAAUUUUUGGGGUAAUCCAUUUUGGAAUUAAAAAAGGAAAAUGUACUGUCUGCACAAGCUCAGUUAACGCAGGCUUGCAGCGAAAGAGGUGAAACUUGUUUUGAUCAGAAAACUGGCUUGCAAGGAGUACAAAAUAUUUCACAAACUUUCAAACCCAUCUUCUCCUCCCCGUUUUCAUUAAUAGGCUUCUUUUAUCCUGUCCUAAGCAACAGCAACAAGACUAAUUAGUUUAACAAGUACGACAAAUGGUUUUAUUGACAAAAAAGAACCCUUUGAAAUAUACAUUACAUUCACAAAGGAUUAAAUUACACCCUAUUAUCCAUUUUCCAUAAAAUAAAGAUUACUUUGAUAA